rnacentral:rRNA from 1 species
GAUGAACGCUGGCGGCGUGCCUAAUACAUGCAAGUCGAGCGAACAGACGAGGAGCUUGCUCCUCUGACGUUAGCGGCGGACGGGUGAGUAACACGUGGAUAACCUACCUAUAAGACUGGGAUAACUUCGGAAACCGGGCCUAAUACCGGAUAAUAUUUUUAACCCCUUGGUUCAAUUGUGAAAGUCGGUUUUGCUGUCACUUAUUCAUUGCUUCGCGCCGCAUUAGCUAGUUGGUAAGGUAACGGCUUACCAAGGCAACGAUGCGUAGCCGACCUGAGAGGGUGAUCGGCCACACUGGAACUGAGACACGGUCCAGACUCCUACGGGAGGCAGCAGUAGGGAAUCUUCCGCAAUGGGCGAAAGCUUGACGGAGCAACGCCGCGUGAGUGAUGAAGGUCUUCGGAUCGUAAAACUCUGUUAUUAGGGAAGAACAAAUGUGUAAGUAACUAUGCACGGAGUGACGGUACCUAAUCAGAAAGCAACGGCUAACUACGUG